UACGUAGGGAGCAAGCGUUGUCCGGAUUUAUUGGGCGUAAAGAGCUCGUAGGCGGCUUAGCAAGUCAGGUGUGAAACCUCCAGGCUCAACCUAGAGACGCCACUUGAUACUGCUAUGGCUUGAGUUUGGUAGGGGAAGACGGAAUUCCUGGUGUAGCGGUGAAAUGCGCAGAUAUCAGAGAGGAACACCGAUGGCGAAGGCAGUCUUCUGGGCCAAAACUGACGCUGAGGAGCGAAAGCGUGGGGAGCGAACGGG
rnacentral:rRNA from 1 species